rnacentral:lncRNA from 1 species
CGCUCCCGGCGCGGCGCUCCGGAGCGGCUCGGGAGGACAGGACCGCGCGACCCGCCGGCCGAGCCCGGGGCCGGCCGCGGAGGCAGCUGCUUCAGGCCGGGACGAAGGUCUGAGCAGAACCAAGUUCUGGGGCUCACUGUCCUCUGCCUGCCGUCUGCGGCUUGCCAGCGCCUGUGCCCGUCCGAGAAGAAUGAGGCUGGGUG